rnacentral:ncRNA from 1 species
UAAGCUCUUCCUAUCAUUAUGAAGCAGAGUUCACUAGGCGUUGGAUUGUUCACUCACUGAUAGGGAACGUGAGCUGGAUUUAAACCACCGUGAAAUAGGUU